GAUUGGCCGAGGUGUUGGGGGCGGGAUCAGCAAAUGAACAGCCAGCCAAGCUGCGCUCUCCCUUUCACAUCGGCUCCAUCUGCUCCUGAUUUGAAGCCUAACUCAUGAAUAAACGUGUCAGGGAAGAGGUUCGAAGCAGGCCACAGGACGCAGGGUUCCUUCACGCUGCAGUCACCAUGCACACAGAAGUCCAGCAGAACGGUAAAGGAAAACGGUGAGGCCCGACUUCUUGUCUCAUAGAUUAACUUGUUUGACUACACUGGCCUGUGGGAUUUGGGGAAUGUUUUUUUUUUGUUGUUGUUGUUGUUGUUUUAAGUGAGGGCGAGCGUUAUGCUGUUCGGUUCUGCUCAAGAGUUUACGUGGAUCAGUUCCUGUCAUCCAGCACUGGGCAUUAUGGGUGAUGACGCUUCGUAUAGUAUUUUUUUCAGGUAGAGCUGCUCAGUGAUGACCACCGCGUUAUCAAAAGCGCGUCGACCUCGUAGCCUCACCCAGUGCCUGAGCAUACGGGUCUGAUUUCUGGGUUUUUGGUAAAUCUGCCGUCAGCACGUCAAUGUUGCAGCGAAGUCGGGAAAGAGGACUUUGUGUUCGGUUCCUCAUCAGGACAUCAUGUCAGACUCUGCCUUACACGACUCUGGCACGGGACUUCAGGACUUCUUCAUGCACUGCUGACGCUGGGCUCCAUUUAGCUGGAGAACACGGAAGAGCAAAAAGAACAUCUUGCGUUCUCUCCUCGGUCUGGGGCAAAUACACUCACCAGCCAGUUUAUUACAAACAGGUACCUUGUACGCACCGUCACUGGAAAUGUAUAAUCCAAUCCUGUCUUAUAGCUGUUUGCUCAGUGAGCAAUUACAGGCUAUAGCCUUCAGACUGAAGUUUGUCUGCUGUUCUCUAUCGCAUUCGUCACUGGUCAGUUCCUGGUCACACGACCCAGCUGACUGGAUAUUAUUUGGGUGACAAGCUUUGGGGUUCGAGCUUGAUUACAGUUGAGCCAGUGGCGCAUUCCAUAUUUGACAUCCGUUGGAAUUUCUUAUUAAUUAAUUGCACAUUAAUCAGGGAGUGUAUCAUCUUCAGGCAAAUUAAAAAUGCAAAUUAAAUAUGAGGCAAAUAUCAAAACAUGUUAGACUGGUGAUGACAAAUGAUCUUUGAAUGUUCCCCCACUCUUUCUUGUACAAAUUUUUUUUUUUUUUUAGAUUUUAUGUAAGUGCUCAUUUAGAGUAAUUUGUUAACCUGACGUCUUAAAUAUAUCUUGUACUAAAAUAUUCCAAAAGAGUUCAGCGCAAAGUCAAGUGUGGGCCUCUCAUCGUCGUUCCUCCCUUUUGAGCCGACCUGCGUGCGCUUCGCAUGCCUGGUGUGUUUUGGGAAUAACACUUCUGUCCUUGGGUGUGGCUCCACCUUGUAGGGCCACCUGCAGGCUCAGAGGUCACGAAACUCCGCAAGGACAAAGAUUCUGCUCUCGUCUUACACCCAGAGUGAGGCAGGUCCCUGGGCUGCCGUGGGCAUGUGAGCAUUCACCUGAAACCUCAGGCUGGUGUGUCACUGCCAGGGAUCCAGGCAUUAGUGCUCGUCAGGGCCGGACAGAGGCACCUUGGAGCCUCUUGGAGAAGUCAGGGAUCUAAAAAAGGCUUCAGAUGCCCCUGACCAUGUAAAUGACGAAGGGAUAGAAGUCACAUUUGAUAAAGAUGUGGAUAAAGGGAGAGAUAGAGGCAGGGAGGAGCACACUUAUCUCUGGGCAAUUACCCUCCCGCACACAAUGAAUAAAAUGAAAGCUAGCCCAAUGAUCUGAGGUCUGGCAAAUUGUAGAUGAGAGCGAAGGUACUGCUAACCCAGAUAGAUCCAUCUGCAAAUAUGAUGUAUUAGAUGUGCAAUAUUCAACCAGACUUCAGGCUCGACAAGAUCAUGGCUCAGAUGUCCCAGCAUGGCCCGUGUUUAAUUACGUCCAAACGCUGCUCGGGGAACUUUUCACCGCUGGCCCUCGGUGAUUCACAUGUAAUCAGGACGGCAGCGGAAACUGCCCUCCUUACUCUGCUGUUCCCAUUACGGUCGUUUUGGUUCUGGCUCUUCUCCGUGCGCGGCACCGUUCCGAGUCGUCUGUGGGUGUGUAGAGUAGGGAGUGCCCUCUCCUGUAUUCUUUCACAUUGUUCGUACCUGUAGGUCCCACAUAAAAGCCCUGAUCGAGAGGUUGGUUGUGACCCGAGUGUUCAGUUUCAGCAAGGGUUUAAUUAGAAUCAUGGUGAAGUUCCCCAAGGGCCAAAACAAGGCUCAGUUUCAUUCCACUGUGUGGUUGCAGCCUUUGUUACGGUCACACUGUAUUGUCCGAUUAUUCUCAUAGCUGUUCCAAAACGCUGUCAAUGACUGUGUGUCCCCACCCAGAGAAAAUCGCAGUUAUAUCCAAACCAUCAGCCAUUCUGUGUGGAAAGAGUGACAUGUUCACUUUAAUAGGUCGGCUGUGUGUUUUUAGCAUGUGAGUAUAAAAAAUGCAAUUAGAUGGCAGUUACGUGGGAGUGUGUUCAUGGUGUAGUUGGUUGGUUGUGUUGCAUGUGUGUUAAGGUGGA